GCACGCAUAGCUCAGUGGUAGAGCGCUUCGUUCACAUCGAAGAAGUCUCUGGUUCGAAUCCAGAUGCGUGCA
rnacentral:tRNA from 1 species